AUGGAGUCACUAUGGGUUUUCAGUUUGCUGUUAUCUAGCCUGACUUGUGUCCGCUCACAGAUCCAGCUGGUCCCGUCCGCCCCGGGAGUGGUGACGCCCGGAGAGUCCCUCACAGUGACUUGUACCGUGUCGGGGGACUCCAUCGCUACCCGCGCCUGGUGGAACUGGGUGCGCGAACUCCCCGGCCGAGGGCUGCAAUGGGUCGGGCGCAUCCAUUUCUCCGGGAGCACGAACUACGCCCCCGACCUGCAAACCCGAGCGAACAUCGCCAAAGAUGACGCCAAGAACGAGUAUUACCUGCAGCUCCGCUCCCUGACCGCUGCGGACACCGCCACCUAUUACUGCACCAGGUUACACUUCGGGGGGGUGGGUGCACUUGAAUGCUGGGCAAUUCCCUAG